GUAAGGCAGGGCUGUGUUGUGAGUCCACUUUUGUUUAACAUCUAUGGCGAGUGUAUAAUUCGUAAAGCCACAGAAAGUUGGGAAGGAGGUAUCUCUGUGGGUGGUAGGACGAUUAAUAAUCUUAGCGAGUCGAGACGGCUAGCCGCGAGGCAGGACUGACCAUUAACAGAUUAAAGACAAAGAUAAUGAUUAUCGAUCAAUCAAGAAAUAAUAGAUAGAGUUCGUGUAUCUUGACUCUUUCAUAACGAAUUCAGGGGGGGUCCACGGCGAAAUUAAAAAGCGGUCAGCGGUUGCCAAAAAAGCCAUGGCUAUGUUGAGCAGGAUCUCUAAGAGUCGAGAUAUAGCCCUGUCUACAAAGAAGAGACUCGUCACAACCUUGGUAUUCUCAAUUUUCCUUCAUGCAUCGGUGUGCUGCACACUCAAGGGGAAGUAGGAGCAGCAAUAAAAACAUGAAUUGCACGGCGAAACAAAUUGAAAACAUAUUUAUAUCCCGCUUGAUAGUGUAGGUAGAUAAAGUUCUAGGACGUUCCUCAAAUGGUUACGGGUAAAGGUCUGCUAGGCAGGGUGUUCUAUAAGGGGCUGUGGUUUCGGAGCAAUAAACAGUAGGCAAAGUUAAUGACGA